CCAGAAUCAACUACCAUUUAUAAAGAAAGAGGAGUGUACAAAUGCGUAAUUGUACCUUUGUCUCGGCGUACCGCCGACGAGCUCCGAGUUCUAGAGAAGAAAAUAUCGCUGAGCUCACUAUAGCCGCCGAUAAUUGAGAGGCAGAAAGCUGACCCUAUUCUGUAAGACUUCCAGUUCAUAUUUACUAUAUGUCACGACCCUAGACAUGACUGGUCACGUCACGUGAGGCUUUGAGCCAUAUCUCAUAAUCAUUUCUCUUGAUCAAAUUGGGGGGUUUUCAUGAGAGAAGGUCUUGAUUCAACUAUCUGUACUCCGUACUGCAGGAGCAGUUUUUGUACAUCCGGAAGACUCAUUGAAGG
rnacentral:sRNA from 1 species